CUUUCCGUUGAGCCAGAUACGAUCAUGGGUGAAGGCGGGGCUGACAGCGACGGAGGUGGUGGUGCAGAGGUGGCCAGGGUCGAGCGUGACGCUGAUGCUGUCGUUGAUCGGAAGAAUCAGCUCCUCGUCCCUCUUCCCCCAGUACUUAAUCACCGCUAUGUUCGUCGGCGUCUGCGCCGUCACACUCAGAACCCAUUUCUCGCCGCGCUCCGCCGCCAUGAAAAUUCUCUUAAUUUUUUCUAGAAGAUUGCUGUGUUUGAUUGGAUCGGAUCUGACAGCUUGAGCGCAGUAUUUAUGCAAAUGCGCGGUGUGAGUGUGUAGAUUCAGUUGGUUGCACGUAUAUGUUCAUGCGCAGUGUGUGUGUGAAGGGGUAGAUUGGUCAGAAUAGAGGAACGCCAUUGUUGAAUGAACUUAAAAAACAGUUAGGCUUCGUUACAAACUAGGCAGCCGCUGUGGGGCCGCUUUCUCAUUCAUGUUUUACUUCAAACUUGAUUACGAUUUAUUAGGGUUUAAGGUUUAAUUUUUUCUUAAUAGAAUUAGUCAAAUUUGAAGUCAUAAGCUUCAAACUAUUCGUGCAGCUGCAAGCCAUGAUAUUAAUCGUUUUUGUUUUAAGUUUAGGAAUAGAUAAUUGAUGUUUGUUAUAAUAAUAAUUGAUGAUUAAAUCAUUGAAACUUUAAUGGUAGUCUUACUACUAAACUAUCUAACUCAACAAAAAAAAAUUAUUACACAUCUUCCUAUUUUUUAUUUUGAUUCGUCCACAAAAUAUUUUGUUAAUCUAUUUUUGAAAACAAUCACAAUAACUAUCAUCCUUACAAUUCUCACAUAUUUACGCACAUGUCACUAGUUGAACCAUCAUUUUUUAAAAUAAUUUUAUUAAUUAUCAUCAUGUUUUUUAAUUUACAGGACAUUUUCUCCGCUCAUCAAAUGCACAACUUAUUUUUUUUUUAAGUUAUGUCAUCUCCCUUACAAAUAUGUUUGAGUACUAUUUAAUUAAGAGAGUCUCCUGUGUGGACGUUCGAACAUAAAAAAAAUUAUGUUUAAUUAUAAUACAUUUAAUUUAAUUUAACAGCAAUAUAAUACAAAAUAAGGGAUUUUGCAUAACCCACAAUUUUUGACUUAUUAAAGAGUGUCAACCGAUUACAGUAGGAAAAGAUUCCAUUUCUUUUCAUUAUUGAAUAAAUAGAAUUUUUAAAAAUGAGCAUUACAAAUUACAAUGACUUAAAUUCAUAACUUUUGUCUACCAUGAAACUAACAUACACGAUUCUUUACUUUCUUGUGUGAUGCAACGUCGUUAUUCUAUUGUAUAAUGACAUGGUUAUGAAUAUCAAUUUAUAUAAUUUAAAUAUAAAUUUUUUUAUCCGUGCACCUANCACACACACAUUUGCAUACGGAAUACAAAAAGGCCCACCACAGCGAGCUUUAUAACCCCGGGUCACAAAUAGCAUCAACUUAAACCAAUCAAACAAAAUUAACAAGAACAAAAAUAGAACGCGAUCGAUUGUACCUUUCCGUUGAGCCAGAUACGAUCAUGGGUGAAGGCGGGGCUGACAGCGACGGAGGUGGUGGUGCAGAGGUGGCCAGGGUCGAGCGUGACGCUGAUGCUGUCGUUGAUCGGAAGAAUCAGCUCCUCGUCCCUCUUCCCCCAGUACUUAAUCACCGCUAUGUUCGUCGGCGUCUGCGCCGUCACACUCAGAACCCAUUUCUCGCCGCGCUCCGCCGCCAUGAAAAUUCUCUUAAUUUUUUCAGAAGAUUGCUGUGUUUGAUUGGAUCGGAUCUGACAGCUUGAGCGCAGUAUUUAUGCAAAUGCGCGGUGUGAGUGUGUAGAUUCAGUUGGUUGCACGUAUAUGUUCAUGCGCAGUGUGUGUGUGAAGGGGUAGAUUGGUCAGAAUAGAGGAACGCCAUUGUUGAAUGAACUUAAAAAACAGUUAGGCUUCGUUACAAACUAGGCAGCCGCUGUGGGGCCGCUUUCUCAUUCAUGUUUUACUUCAAACUUGAUUACGAUUUAUUAGGGUUUAAGGUUU
rnacentral:lncRNA from 1 species